UACAGAGGUCUCGAGCGUUAGGCGGAAUCACUGGGCUUAAAGCGUGUGUAGGCGGAUCGUUAAGUACCUUGUGAAAAUCCCACGGCUUAACCGUGGAACUGCUUGGUAUACUGGCGGUCUUGAGCCAGCUAGGGGCUACCGGAACAAAUGGUGGAGCGGUGAAAUGCGUAGAGAUGCGGAGGAACACCGAUGGCGAAGGCAACCCCCUGGGCUAACACUGACGCUCAGGCACGAAAGCG
rnacentral:rRNA from 1 species